rnacentral:rRNA from 1 species
UACGUAGGGACCGAGCGUUGUCCGGAUUCAUUGGGCGUAAAGAGCUCGUAGGCGGCUGUUCAAGUCGAACGUGAAAACUCGGAGCUCAACUCCGAGCCUGCGUUCGAUACUGGACGGCUAGAAUCCGGUAGGGGAGACUGGAAUUCCUGGUGUAGCGGUGAAAUGCGCAGAUAUCAGGAGGAACACCGGUGGCGAAGGCGGGUCUCUGGGCCGAUAUUGACGCUGAGGAGCGAAAGCGUGGGGAGCAAACAGG